GAUGAACGCUAGCUACAGGCUUAACACAUGCAAGUCGAGGGGCGGCAUGGUCUUAGCUUGCUAAGGCCGAUGGCGACCGGCGCACGGGUGAGUAACACGUAUCCAACCUGCCGUCUACUCUUGGACAGCCUUCUGAAAGGAAGAUUAAUACAAGAUGGCAUCAUGAGUCCGCAUGUUCACAUGAUUAAAGGUAUUCCGGUAGACGAUGGGGAUGCGUUCCAUUAGAUAGUAGGCGGGGUAACGGCCCACCUAGUCUUCGAUGGAUAGGGGUUCUGAGAGGAAGGUCCCCCACAUUGGAACUGAGACACGGUCCAAACUCCUACGGGAGGCAGCAGUGAGGAAUAUUGGUCAAUGGGCGAGAGCCUGAACCAGCCAAGUAGCGUGAAGGAUGACUGCCCUAUGGGUUGUAAACUUCUUUUAUAAAGGAAUAAAGUCGGGUAUGGAUACCCGUUUGCAUGUACUUUAUGAAUAAGGAUCGGCUAACUCCGUG
rnacentral:rRNA from 1 species